GACAGAGGGUGCAAACGUUGUUCGGAAUUACUGGGCGUAAAGCGCGUGUAGGCAGUUUCGCAAGUCGGGUGUGGAAGCCCUGGGCUCAACCUAGGAAGUGCACUCGAAACUGCGAGACUUGAGUCCUGGAGAGGAAGGCGGAAUUCUCGGUGUAGAGGUGAAAUUCGUAGAUAUCGAGAGGAACACCGGUGGCGAAGGCGGCCUUCUGGACAGUGACUGACGCUGAGACGCGAAAGCGUGGGGAGCAAACAGG
rnacentral:rRNA from 1 species